ensembl:lncRNA
UAGGCCUGUUGAUUUUAAUAAAUAUAAUUGGAAUUUUAAAAAGCUAAUUUGUUAUAGUAUUAUCCUAUUCGUAACUCCAAGAAUUGAGGGUACUUAAACGUUGAAGGGUUUUUGUUGGGUUUAAACGAGACAGACCCGGCAGAUCCUCACUUCACCAUUCGGUGUUAAUACCAAAGGAUGUUAUUCUGCUGUGUCUCUACAUCAAAGAACGAGCCCUGAUCUGUCCCACCGCGAAUCACACGUCGUUGACGCACGUUCCUCGUUGAAUUUUCGUAACGGAAAAAUACAACUUUUUCUAUUCGAUUUUAGGUUUCUUCUCAGUCCAGUACCCUACCUUUGUUUUCCGCACUCCGAAAUGUCUACAGGGGGUGCUCGUGCUUAACCUUUUACUUUGGUUGACAAAAAGGUGUCUACUUUUUUAUUGUAAAGCGCUCUGUGAAUACAGGAAUUUUGGGAAGCAGAAUAACACAUUACUUUACGUUGAGGACAUCCUAACGGAGCGAAGGGAGAUCCGGGCACGCGCCUGCCGCCGUCCGUGACGCUGAUUGUAAACCGACGACCGUCAGUCUGUCCUGUUCCUGCUCUGAAGCUUAAGGAAUGAACGAGGACAUGAAGGACACUUAUUCAAUCGAUUUCCCCCUUUUUAAGGUAGCCUAACUAAUCGGUGGCAUGACACGUGACGUCGGUCUUAUAGAUAUAUUAGGCCAUGCACUUUUAAGGGCCAGAAAGCUGAAGAUGGUCGGUUCCAACAGUCUCCGAAACCAGACCAAAGAAGUCGCGAGAGACUACGGUCAAAUCGACGAGGACGUUUUUGGGAUGGUGCCCUGGAAACGUGAUGAGAUGAACAACUAUAAACUGGGAAAACUUACAGGAAUGGAUACCUUGGUUCUGGAUUGUGGACUCUCCUCUUCAGCUCACCCAACACAUUUCUAAUGGGAUUUAGGUCAGGGGACAGUGAUGGCCCUUCCAUAAACUUGAUACUAAGGUAGGUGAACCAUUUUUGUGUGGAUUUGGAGGUAUGCUUUGAAUCCUUGGAUGCCAGGAAUACUCAAAUGCCUUGUUGACAGGAUUUUGAAAACAGCCUAGACCAUUACCAGCUUUGGAUUGGGUCAAUCAGAGUCAACAAUUAUUUUGGCAAAGGCACAUUUGAUUCAGAAUCUGUCUGUGUAUGUUGGGGUCACAAAUUACAGCUAUUGUGAUAGGAAUGUACUGUUUGUUUCAAAAACAUGUCUGAAACCUUAUGCAAAUAUUUAUUUUCUUUUUUAUGGUGAUAUGCAGUUUAUGAUUAUGGCCUUACCACAUCUCUCCUUUCUCGAGUUUGUAAAAACCCAUCUCAACGCUCCAACGUCCACAUCAGCCCAUCCCUCCCAAUAUUUGAUCAGGUUAUUGCUUUCGCUAGCAGUACAUCGUCUCACAAGGGUCUAGAACCUCCAUAUCUGCUUCAUAUCUGGACCUCUCCUCCAUCAUUCUACCCUCUAGUUCUUCUCGUCCUGCUGUUCUCUGCUCACUCACUCAUCUUCAUACUCUCUUC